rnacentral:rRNA from 1 species
UACGUAGGGAGCAAGCGUUGUCCGGAAUCAUUGGGCGUAAAGCGCGCGUAGGGCGGCCCUGUAAGUCCGUUGUGAAAGUCAAAGGCUCAACCUUUGAAGCCGAUGGAUACUGCAGGGCUGGAGUCCGGGAAGAGGCGAGUGGAACUCCUGGUGUAGCGGUGGAAUGCGCAGAUAUCGGGAGGAACACCGGUGGCGAAGGCGGUUCUCUGGGCCUUACCUGACGCUGAGGAGCGAAAGCGUGGGGAGCGAACAGG